ACAAAAAAUGGAGCUGGGGGGUUCCCUGGUCCCCGAUGUUGGGGCGGGGAGCGCGGCGCCGAGGGAGGGGGCGGCGCAGACCAGCCAAGGGGACACCUGGUCGAGCGCAGCCGCCGCUCCGCUCGAGCCCUGCGCUCCAGUGCCCCCAGUGCCCCCACUGGCUGGAGAGCUCGCCCAGACCGGGGGUCUUCCUCCCUCGCUGACAGAUUCUAACUGUUAGAAGAGUACCAAUUCUGGAAAACAACCAAAGUUUCUUUGAAUGAAUGCCCACGUAAUGCAUUGGAAUAUAAUAAGAGAUUAAGGUUUAACAAUGUUAAAAUGAAGAUAUUACUAAAAUGGCCCUCUAAAUAGCCCAACAAUUAUUAUUUUCAUUAUCCUAUGAAUUUGGCUUUGAAAGGUGUGCUGCUCUUAAUAAGGUAAAAACCAACUUUUAUAACUACUUCAUGUGUUAAGCACAUUCAAAAGUUGUUAGUUUAAUAAAUCAGGUUCUUAUUAAGUUGGCACGGAAAAAUGACUUGCUUUUCUUUUCACGACUACAAUAAAUUACAGCACUGUAUUAAGUUGUCUGUACACUUUUAUUAAACUUAUGAUAGCGAAAUACUUUUGAUUCUGCUGAAAGCUUAUAAAAUUAUGCACAUACCAGUGUUAGAUUUUUUUCAAACAUGGAUUUUAUGUAUUCUGCUUUUUUCCUAAAAAGACUUUUUUAUAAAUUACUAUGUAGGUGCUAUGAGUUUUCAAAAACAAAACCUUGGAGUAAAGUAGCAGCACAUAAUGGUUUGUGGAUUUUGAAAAGGUGCAGGCCAUAUUGUGCUGCCUCAAAAUACAAGGAUCUGAUCUUCUGAAGAAAGUGCCUGUCUUUGUAUUCAUAGCUCCUAUGAUAGCAAUGUCAGCGGUGCCUUAGCAGCACGUAAAUAUUGGCGUUAAGAUUCUGAAAUUACCUCCAGUAUUGACUGUGCUGCUGAAGUAAGGUUGGCAAUACUCUACAACUGUAAUUCAAUGUGUAUUGAUGUUACUUGUGUGUUAACAAGCUUUUCUAAUUGCAUUAGUUAUUUUAUGUUUGGUAUGAUUCUGUAAUGAUGUUAGUUACAAUGCUCUACAUAUUGUGUCUGUUAAAAUACUAUAUAAUUGUGGGAUGGUAAUGCAGCUGGGUUGGUCGAGUGCUUCUCGCUAGUGUGCACAAGGCCAUGGGUUUUAGCCUUACCACUGCAAACCAGGUACACACUUGUAACCCUACAACUAAGGAAGUGGAAAAAAGAGAGUUAGAGGCCUAACAUCAUCCUUGGCCAUAAAGCAAGUCUAAGACCUAUGUAAGGAUCUGUCUUUUAAAAAAGAAACAAAACAUAAUGACUUCUGUGUCUGUGAGGAAUUGAUUAUAGGACUUCUAGAUACCCAGAUUUGUAAAUGCUUAAGUCUCCUGUAUAAAAUGUCUGCUUGUGACCAGUGCAUAUCUUCCCUUAUAUUUAUUUAAACUUAAUCUCUACAUUGUUUUAAUGUGUAGUACAGUGAGAUGUUAACAUGGAUAGUUGUAUUCAAGUUAUUCUGGUAAUGACAAGAAAAAACUGUACAAUUCAGUACAAAUGCAGUUUUUGUCUAAGAAAUAGUUUUUUUGGUUUGGUCUUUUGAGCCUGGGUCUCACCAUGUAGACCAGGCUGCCAUGAAACUCACUGAGUCCCUCUUGCCUCUGCUCCCAAAUUCUUUAAUUAAAACUGUAGCCCCAAUGCCUGGCCACCCACAUGUUUUGAAUGUGUGGUUGGCUGGAUCCACAGAUGGACCACUGACUAAUAAUAUAACAAGUAUUUUUAAGUCUUGAAUACCUUUCCAGAGUUUCUAAAGAACUACAUUGGUAGAAUAUAUACCUAGUACAACCGAGUCUUGAGUUCUCUUUCCAGCAUUUCCAUAUAAAAGUGUUUUUGAAAGAGUUUAGCAAGUACCAAAUUCUACAUGAAUUUAAACUCAUAAUAUUACUUAUAAUAGAAAAAUAUUUUUCUCUUGAUUUGAAGUUUUCUUUAGAUACAGAUAAAGUUUGAAAUGCUACAGAUUAUAACAUACUCUUUAGUAUAAUGUGUCUGAAUAUUUCAUUUUAAAUGAAGGAGAAAAACAUUAAAAUGUGUACAUUGAAUUUUUAAAACUUUAAAUUUAGAAGAAUCCUUAGAAUAGCUGACCUUUUUAUUGGUUAACUGAGGAAACAAUCUGAAAUUUAAUUUGCAACCUAUGACAUAUUAGGGUAUAAAUCCUAUAUCUUCUAACUUAAUAAUUACUGUUUUUCUUAUUUUUUACAAAAAUGUUUAACAGGAGAUUUUUAACUAGUCAAAAGUAUGAAAGACAUCUGUGCCUUAAUAUUUGACUUCAGAUUAAAGCUAACAUAGUUAUUAAUUUUAAAAAUAUAUUCAGAAUAUUUUAAUUAUUUCAAAGGAAAUGUUCUUUUAAUUAUCCCAUGUGCCUUAUUUGAAAUGUUUUAAGUCAUUAUUUUAAAAUGUUCAAGAAAACACAUUAUCUCACAAUAAUGUCCUCUAACUCUGUCAUUACUUCUUACAAGGAGCCUCUUACCUUUUCAGAUUAAAGGUUCACAAUGAAUUCUACCCAUUAUCGUGUGUUGUGGAAAUCCUAAAAGUAUUUCAGUUACUUUUUAAGGAAUUGUUUUCAAAAGAACCACUAGUCAGUUCUAAUUUAAAGGUAAAAUUGAGUAAGUUUUAACUAAUUGAUUUAAUUAACUAUAGACUCCGUUUUUGGAGCAUUUUUUUCUCAUGGAGAUGUCCAUAACUAAAUUAGCAAAAGGCCAUAUAUUUGGUUAGAAUGUAAAGCUUUUUCUUUCUUUUUUUUUUUUCUUUAAGAUUUAUUUUAUUUGUUUUAUGUAUAUGAGUACACUGUUGCUUUAUUGAUGGUUCUGAGCCUUCCUGUGGUUGGUUGCUGGGAAUUUUGAAUUCAGGACCCCUGCUCGCUCCAGUUGGCCUGCUCGCUCCAGCUCUGUAAUUGUCUUCAGACGCACCAGAAGAGGGCAUCAGAUCUCAUUAUGGAUGUUUGUGAGCCACCAUGUGGUUGC